UUCUCUCUCUCUCCUCGUCGCUCUGCAACUUCGGCCACUUUCCUUUUCCGGCCACCUGGCGGUGCAUGGCGGGUACCGGCGGACUCGUCUCGACUUCCUCUUGGCGCCUGCGGUGGUGGCUCACGGCGGCUUGGCCGGAAAACGAAGCAUCGGGUCCUUGAAGUUUCACUGUAGCAAAUUGGUCAACGCCGGUUUCUCCCGAUUCCGGCCACCUCCGGCGACGAACCAUAAUCAUUUGGAAGCGGCUUGCGAUGUAGAUGAUACUCCCCAAAUCUUUUGCAGCGAUUUGAAGCAUGGAGGAAGAAUUGAAGGGCAAUGUUGCGAGCUACGGCUAGAUGAAGGGACUCGUUUGCGUGGUCGCCAACUAGUACUUUUGCAGGCGCUAUUAGUUGAGGUCGGGCAUACAUGGUUCGAGGCAUAGUUGAUGAAUAGCUUCCGCACUUCUUUGUUUGGCUCUGAUCUAUCGUAGCUUACUGUUUUGGGUAGUCCACUUUAGGGGUGACUCGA